UUCGAUCUGGCUCAGAACGAACGCUGGCGGCGCGUUUAAGCAUGCAAGUCGAGCGGCAGUAGCAAUACGAGAGCGGCGGACGGGUGAGUAACACGUGGGUAAUCUGCCUACCAGUCGGGGAUAGCCUGUGGAAACACAGGAUAAUACCGGAUGCGAUGCCUUUUACACAAGUGAGAGGCAGGAAAGGGGCCAAGGCCCCGCUGGAAGAUGAGCCCGCGUCCCAUUAGCUAGAUGGCGGGGUAAAGGCCCACCAUGGCGAUGAUGGGUAGCCGGCCUGAGAGGGUGAACGGCCACAUUGGAACUGAGACACGGUCCAGACUCCUACGGGAGGCAGCAGCUAAGAAUCUUCCACAAUGGACGAAAGUCUGAUGGAGCGACGCCGCGUGGGCCGAUGAAGGCCGUGAGGUUGUAAAGCCCUUUUCUUGAGGAGGAAUAAGUGGGACAGGGAAUGGUCCUGCGAUGACGUGAAUCAAGGAAUAAGCCCCGGCUAACUACGUGCCAGCAGCGGC
rnacentral:rRNA from 1 species